rnacentral:rRNA from 1 species
UACGAAGGGGGGCUAGCGUUGCUCGGAAUCACUGGGCGUAAAGGGUGCGUAGGCGGGUCUUUUAAGUCAGAGGUGAAAUCCUGGAGCUCAACUCCAGAACUGCCUUUGAUACUGAGGGUCUUGAGUAUGACAGAGGUGAGUGGAACUGCGAGUGUAGAGGUGAAAUUCGUAGAUAUUCGCAAGAACACCAGUGGCGAAGGCGGCUCACUGGGUCAUUACUGACGCUGAGGCACGAAAGCGUGGGGAGCAAACAGG